rnacentral:sRNA from 1 species
UGCAAAGGUUAUUGGAUCUGAUGGAACC